AAGGAAAACAAUCGGAAACGGAGACGGAGACUAGAAAUAAGAGAGAGCAAUGAAAUCGCCGAGAUGGGGAUAUGUUAGAAUUAUAUCAGGAACUAUUUUUGGAGGCAUUCUUGGAUUCUAUCUUAUGCAUCGCGCUGAACUUCAAUACAAGGAAAUGUGGAACGAGAGAUUGAAGAAGUAUGAGGAGGAGCUCAAAAUGAAUCAAAGUAUGGAGACGCAUACCCCCACUGAGUUGUCUGGAGAUCCUCUUGCGAGAUAGAUAAUUUGGAGAUUACUUGUGCAGACUCCCGUUGUUAUUGUGUGAUGCCGCCUGAGAGCAAAAAACAUGGUUGUCAAAGUGUACCUACCGAUGUGUUUGUUAUUAUAAAAACUGUGAGAACAAGCAUCUUAUCGGGAAAUGGAUGGUGCAGAUUUCCACCACUGACGCUUUGAUUAUGCAGUUUGGGCGUCUACAAACUACUUACUCUCCCCUUCUAAUUAGUUUACAAACAUCAUGCACCUCAUUUUGACUAUUCAUUCAGGAUCACUUACGAAGUUUAUACCCUCUAUUUCUAGAUUGAAAAGUAUCCUGAGAUUGACAGCUUAAUUUAUUUCCUCUGAAGAAAAG